rnacentral:misc_RNA from 1 species
UGGCCGCCUCCUACGAGGAACCUCGCUCUUUCCCUCGUCUUCAGUCCGGUGCCAGUCAGUUGCUGUAGUGCGUGUGAUGUGCGUUGGAGACGUACCUGUGACGUGAGGGCGUAUCGACGCGACGGUUGAAUAAAAUGGUGACAUAGAAUGUACAUUCAAGUAGUUGUUGGAGGUUAACGAACUAUUCGAUUCCAUACAGUCUUCUUGCUGUACAGUAAAGUGACUUGAACGGUGGGUAGUGAUAGUGUUUGUUCUCGAUUUCCAACUGCGACAUUCAUCUGUAAAAUGUAGCCCGGGUGUACAAAAUAAUACUGCUUAUCACUCGAAGUGCCUAGUGUUCUAUCUCAAAGUGUGCUCUAUAGUGCCGAUGUGUUUGGUGGUAGUUUUUUCCAACUCAAGUUAAACGUUUUACAACCAACUAUGUGGAUAUCUUUAUGGAUACUGGGCGUGAUACUGAAAUAUGGAGGGGCCCAGUUCUCGGACAAUACGCCUCCGGUGGUGGUUGUAGAUAGACACUGGACAGUAUCGGAUACGGAGCCCGAGGGCGCAGUCAUCGUUAGGGUGCACGCCGAGGACAACGAGGGAGACACUCUAGAGUACGGCUUAGAGAAACCAGACGGUCCCUCCAAUUUCAACAUCUACAUGAACAACAGCCAGCGUGACCUACCAUUUCGCAUCGACAACCAAACAGGAGUCGUGUAUACCAACGAGUCUCUGACCAAUAGGGGUGGAGAGAGCCUGUUUCUGUACGUAACGGUGUACGAUGGCCAGUUGACGCACAAGAGUGAAGUAUGGGUGGACAUCAUGAACACCACGGGAUUGCAAGAUUCUCGCAGGCCCGCACCACCCAAGAUUCCCUCAAACAUGGGACCUCAAUUUCGAGCUCCACCUCCGCCACCACCGCAGGGUAGCUUCCCAUCACCAUUCAGGCCAAUUUUGUCCCGCUUCCCACCCAGGCCACCCUACAACAUACCCAAGCUACAAAACCAACCGUCUUUCCCGAAAAAUAAAACUGUACUGACAAUUACAACAUCGACCUCGAUCACCUCUACAAUAAUCACGUCCACGGAGUCCUCAACAGUCAUAAGUAAAACCACUGAGGAGAAUUCAACGAACAAUUCUGUAGAAAACCUGCAGAAGAAUAACGUACUUAUGACGACAACACCCUCGGACGACAACCCGGCGAUAAUCAAGAAUCUGGCACUCACCAUUAUCCCACUGGUGGUGAUCUGCGCAGCAUUCUUCGUCUCUGCUAUCAGUGCAUGCGUCUUCAGGAAGAGGAUAUGCAAGUCCAGGAAGAAAUCGAAGAAAGGAGAUAAGGACAAAGAGAUUUCUGCCAAUGGAGGUGUGACAGAAGAGCCGAUGGCCAUGCACCAGUGGCUUGGCCCCCGAGCCUACAGCAACCGCUACGAGGCAUGGGACAAUGAAACCCCUCAGGGUGGAUUAGGGGGAGUUUUGAUUUCCCCGACCACGAAGCUGAACCAGUGGGAGUUUCCCAGACAUCAUCUCAAGGUGUUUAAUAUCUUGGGAGAGGGAUGCUUCGGUCAGGUCUGGAAGUGUGAAGCCAUUUCUAUUGGAGGACGAGAAGGUCCAUCGCUUGUAGCAGUCAAGACACUCAAGGAGAAUGCAGGUGAGAGAGAGAGGUCCGACUUGCUUCAAGAACUUCAGGUGAUGAAGAUGUUGGAUCCUCACCCCAACGUCGUCCGACUACUUGGAUGCUGCACUGAUAAAGAUCCUUUGUUUGUGAUAAUGGAGUAUGUGCCUCACGGCAAGCUGCAGAGUUACCUGCGAAACUCCAGAGCACAACGCUACUAUGACAACAUGCACGCAAAGUCCGCCACACUUACGUCACGUGACCUCACGUCUUUCUGCUACCAAGUGGCACGGGGCAUGGAGUUCCUUUCUGGGAAAGGGAUUAUCCACAGAGAUUUGGCAGCCAGAAAUGUCCUAGUGGGGGAGAACCAGAUCUGCAAGGUGGCAGACUUCGGGUUCGCUCGAGACAUCAUCACUAGUCACGUGUACGAGAGGAAGUCUGAGGGGCGACUACCCAUCCGGUGGAUGGCCCCAGAGUCGCUGUACGAUAAUCUGUUCUCCGUCAAGUCCGACAUCUGGAGCUUCGGAGUCCUCAUCUGGGAGAUCGUGACUCUAGGCUCCACCCCAUACCCGGGACUAGGGGCGGCGGAGGUGAUGAAGAAGGUGCGGGACGGUUUCCGACUGGACAAACCUGAACAUUGUCGCCGGGAAUUGUACAAUAUCAUGUACUACUGCUGGGACAAGGACCCUGCGGAGAGGCCUAACUUUACUGAACUGGUGACAUUGCUGGAGCAGCUUCUGCUGACAGAGACGGACUACAUCCAGCUGGACAGGUUCCCCGACCACUCAUACUACAAUAUCAAUGGUAUUUAUUGUUUAUCAGAACUGGUGACAUUGCUGGAGCAGCUUCUGCUGACAGAGACGGACUACAUCCAGCUGGACAGGUUCCCCGACCACUCAUACUACAAUAUCAAUGGUAUUUAUUGUUUAUCAGAACUGGUGACAUUGCUGGAGCAGCUUCUGCUGACAGAGACGGACUACAUCCAGCUGGACAGGUUCCCCGACCACUCAUACUACAAUAUCAAUGGUAUUUAUUGUUUAUCAGAACUGGUGACAUUGCUGGAGCAGCUUCUGCUGACAGAGACGGACUACAUCCAGCUGGACAGGUUCCCCGACCACUCAUACUACAAUAUCAAUGGUAUUUAUUGUUUAUCAGAACUGGUGACAUUGCUGGAGCAGCUUCUGCUGACAGAGACGGACUACAUCCAGCUGGACAGGUUCCCCGACCACUCAUACUACAAUAUCAAUGGUAUUUAUUGUUUAUCAGAACUGGUGACAUUGCUGGAGCAGCUUCUGCUGACAGAGACGGACUACAUCCAGCUGGACAGGUUCCCCGACCACUCAUACUACAAUAUCGUGUCUCUCAGCGGGGAGAAGCUGUGACACUGUCCUAUGUCCUGUCACAACUGCGACGUUCUUGUACCUGCUUACAGUCUCGUUAUACAGGCUGUUUUAAAUCAUCAACUCAGACUCCAGAAUUGUUAACAUAAAGUGAUGGUGUUCCUUUUGGAAACACUCCCAAGUCUUUUUCUGAUCUGUGCCGACUUUUUGUAAAAAUAAAAUUUAAAAAAACAAUGGUUUAAAGGAGUUUUCAGUGUUCACCCUAUUGAACUACUAUAGACAUAUCCAUUGUAAUUUAUAUUUUACGUAUUAUAAAAUUGGCUUCUGCAACAUAUUUGUUUUGCUAGACAAAUAUUGGUAUAUAUGUAAUACUUAUAAUGUGUAAGCUUAGAACUUAAAAAUGUAAAGUAAUCGUAAAACCAGUCCUUAGAUUUAAGGUAAACCUUACAAAAUUUGAGUUAAGUACUAUUUGGUAUUUUGUUACUUUUUUUCUAAACCUAUAAUAUUGUUUCUCACAAUAAUUUUAUACAUUUUAAAGAUUAAAUGUAAAGAAAUUGGCUGAAUUUUUCAAUAUUCUUUGUAACAUCGUAAACGGACGCUCUUCUUGAAAGAGAUAAAAACAUGGCUAAAUUGAAAGAAUGUGGUGGCCUAUUUUAUACCGAUAAUUAUCAUUGAAUUAUUCCAUUAUUAAAAUAGAAUACAAAAGUUACUGUUAUUAAAGAUUAUACAUCAAUUGUUAUCUUUUUAAUUUGCAGCUUUGGAAAUAUAACCUUUAUAGAUCCAAAUAAUACUUUUCUAGUUACAUUUUAUUCAUCACUGUUACCAAAGACUUACACCUGACUUCGCAUUUCUAUCUGUACAGUUCUACGGUUACAUUUCUAUCUGUAACAGCUCUAUGGUUACAUUUGUUCAAAAAAUCGGAAUUACGUGUAUUCUCUUAUGUAUUGAUGAGCUUUGUUAGGUUAAUUAGGUUAUUUUAAUCAUAAAGUGUAUGCUCCUACAGGGCCGGUGGAACCAGAUGCAUAGAAGGUUAAUCGCAUUGUUGAAAAUAUGUAUAACUAUUGUAUUGUAUAUAAAUUGUAGAUACUAUUUUGUUUUAAAAUAUAUAGAAAUCUGUAACUGCCUUUUAAAGUGUAAAUAAAAGGAAUUUUG